UUAUAAAAUGCCUAUGGAAGCAACGUACUACUGCAAAGCACAAAUCUUGAAUAUCCCCAACAAAUUCAGUACUCAGAAUUGGAAGUCACUCACUCAAAUGGCAAAUUCUUCCUUCAGAUUGUUUAUCUUUGUGACCCUCUUAGUUAUUUCAUUUGGCACCUCACUAUCAAAGGCAACAAUUAUAAAUGGAGACACCCCGUGCGCCAAUGAUACUGAUUGCAAAAGCAUUCAGUGUCCCGGAGGCCCGGCUGCUCGUUGUUACAGCGGCUAUUGCCUCUGCAAACCAAGGCUUCAAACUAAUGAAGACAACUCCAUGAAACGUCAUUAGCGUCAAUGCUGCCAAGGCGGUGAUUGUAACCCCAAAUGACAAAAAGAAAAUUCAUUGUUCUACAGGUUUAUGCAUUUGUCAGUGACGGAAAGUGGUGUAUGUUUGCAUUAACAAUCGGCGAGAAAUAAAAGCUUUUUGAGUACCCUUA